rnacentral:lncRNA from 1 species
CCAAAUCUUACUUUCUUGUGACAACCACUGCCAGCAUUUUGGUAGACAGCUUUUGGACCUCACUAACACUCACCCAUACACCACACAUAUACAUGAACACUCAAGCACCUGGCAUACAUAUGCAAACUGUAACACAAUCAUAUAUAUAUACACACUCACACACUAUGUAUUCAUGUGCACCAUGUGUGGACGUGUCAUAUGUACUCUCAAGCAUGCACCCUGCACUUAUAUGUUCACUGUAUGCAGUGCUACACACACAUACCACAUGCACAUUCAAAUAGCCUGCACUUAUACAUACUCCAUACAC